ensembl:lncRNA
CUCAUUUUAUUUCAGCCCGUAUGGUUUAAAUAGAUGAGUUUUGCUUCUCGUCUACAUUUCCAGCUAAAUGAAUUCUAUUUUUAUCCAAGUGAAAACGUACUGGUGAUCAGCGUAUGUCUGCUCUAGACGGAGUGCAUUGCUGAGAGAUUCCUUGGGUGGUCUCACCUUGGAGUCUUCAACUGCUGUCCGGAUUAAACUCAGCAGCAACACAUAAAUUAGUUUUAGCUUUGUUUUAUAUUCUUAAAUCUAAACUUUUUCCAAGCUUUAAACUUUUUUACUGAAUUGGAAUAUAGUCCAUGUAGUUGAAGCUAUGGUUUUUCCAGUAGUCAUGUAUGGAUGUGAGAAUUGGACCAUAAAAAAGGCUUAGUGCCAAAGAAUUGAUGCUUUUGAAAUGUGGUGCUGGAGAAGAUUCUUGAGAGUGCCUUGGACUGCAAGGAGAUCAAACCAGUCAAUCCUAAAGGAAAUCAACACUGAAUACUCACUGGAAGGACUGACACUGAAGCUGAAGCUCCAAUAUUUUGGCCACCUGAUGUGAGGAGCUGAUUCAUUGGAAAAGAACUUGAUGUUGGGAAAGACUGAAGGCAGGGGGAGAAGCGAGUGACAGAGGAUGAGAUGGGUGGAUGGCAUCACAGACUCGACGGGCAUGCCUUUGAACAAACUCUGAGACUGAAGGACAGGGAAGCCUGGCAUGCUGCAGUCCAUGAGCUGCAAAGAGUCGGACAUGACUCAACAACGAACGACGACAGCAGCCGGUUAACACCGUCGCGGUGGUUCCAGCUCAGGACCUCUGCCUUGUACACGGCAACGCACAGGGACCAGAUAAUAUUGGAUGAACUCAGGUUAUGUUCUGGGCCAAAAGGCAUGCUCCACUCCAUCGCCAAGGGAGGCAAAUGCGAUGAUUCUCCCCAACGCCAACUCCCCAGACCAUCACCUCCCAGGGGAAGGUCUUUAUAAACGCUCUCAGUGACACUGAGACUCACAGCCAAGUCACAGCCAGUGCCGUAAGAAAGGCCACGUGCAAAUCCAUCUCGGUCGCUAGGAAAAUAGACUUAAGUACCAGGCUUAGCAUCAGAUCCUUGGUCUCAUUUCGGGGAAGGAAGUGAGCUUUAUGUGCUCCCUCCAAGUUUAUCCCAGGACGUGACGAUGUCAGUUUGGGAACAGGCAGCAGUGCCAACAGCUGCAUCACUGCAGUUUCCAGCCACUCAGACAUCUUCUGGAAACUGGCCUGAGAGAGGUAAACUUGGGUAGCGGCUUGUACUCCUGGCCUUUGCCCUUGGUCCAGUCCCUGCCAGACGUCCUGCAAUGGGGGCCGUGUUCUACACAUGGCAGGUAUGUGCAGCCUGGACUGAGUUCUGGUUGUAAGAGCAAACAGAAAAAAAUUUUUUUUAAUUUUCAAAAUGUUUCCCUCUCCUGGAAACAAAUAAAACUUGAGCCUGGGAGCAGGUCUUCACUGAGUCUUAAUGGUUUCAUCUUGUUGUGCAAGGCACUGGGAACUCUGAGUGGAAGGAAGACCCCAAGGGGGAAGAAGACCACCCUACCACCCCCAGUAAGUGAGAUGUCCAGAAAGGGCUUCAUUUGCACCAAACUCUCUUUUUUACAUCAGGGAUAGGGGAAUAGUGCCUGAAAUAUCUGAGUGACUAUCUCCACUUCCUUUUGGUUUCAAAC